rnacentral:rRNA from 1 species
UUGCCUGCUAUCUCUUACCCAUGUCUUUUAAGUACCUUACGUUUCCUCGGCGGGUCCGC